UGAUGAUGUUGCAUUGGUAGGAGGAAAUGACAACUCCUCUAGCUUAGGAGCAACUAUCCUGGCAUCUCGUUUUGCAGCUAAUGCACUCCGCGGAAGGAAGCUCCGAACCACAUCUAGUUUGAUGAAUCUGCAGAAGCCACCUGAACCUGAUUUCAGUUCAGAUCAGUAACGAGUAAGUAUAGGCUCUAUUUUCGACCCCUUUUGUUCUUAAGUAAAUGAAAACAAUACCUGUACUGUACUGUACAUUGUAAUUCAUUGCUGUUUUUGUAAUUAAAACACAAUAAUAGUCAUGAGAUUGACUAACUUGUCUAGUAAGCAAUUACCGAUGUAAGCAUCUGGAGCCUCUUUGCUUCAAAUUUUGUACAUUGUACUCUUGAUUAUCCUUCUUGUAGUUAAAAUACAGUCCUGAUAUUAUGCAUACAAAAUUACAGUCAUUAGAUUGACUAACCUAAUCUGUUUUUGAAACAAAUAAAACAUUUAUUAGAUUGACUAACCCCCAGUUCGAGAAUCAUCUGAAAAUAAUGAGGAAAGCCAUGACCAAUACAGUGUAGGAGAAGGGGAAAAUUGCGAAGGCCAGAUACUUGGCGGCAUCAAUCAUCACUGACAACUGACGAGCAACUUGUAGGAGUUAGAAUUCCACGCGGACACCUCCAACAUAGGAUCUUGACCGCUACCCUAAGUAGGAGAAGUUUGAAGGUCAUUACCAGCCAGUUUUAGGCUUCGAGUAUAAAAUUUCAGCAGCACCCCAUCGCAAUUUCAUCUUCAUUAUCCUCAAAUUCAGAAAUAGAGCAGCAACGCAGCAGCAGCAUUUCCUUCUCCUCCAAUCCGAGCACCUCCGACCAACGGCCGUCCGCCGUCCAUCCGUCUGGUCCGGUCGCUCGGACGUUAGUGUCCCACCCACCAGCGAGCCAAUCUUCGAUUCAAGGUAAGUUUUGAGCAAAAUCCUAAUUUUUUUACAUUUAGAAAUUUCAUUCAUUGAAUUAAAAUUGUUGAAAUUAAAGAUGUUUAUUGGAUAAUGAUAAAUAGUUUUGUUGUUUGAAUCAUGAAUACGAAAUUGUGGG
rnacentral:lncRNA from 1 species